ensembl:lncRNA
AUGUCUAUGCAAUUUCAAGAUGAUACAGAUGGUAUACCUCCUUCUGAGGCUGAAAGUAGGAAUGAAAGGCCCCAAAGGAUAAAGCACCCUUCAGCCAAAAUGCUAGCCCAUCUAAUAGACGAAAAGGAGCUCCUCCAUGUGAGGUUAGGUUCGGCAUGGGAGCGAAUUGUAACAUUGAUGGUCAGAAUUGAGAGCUUGGGUAUUACAAGGGUGCCAUCCAUAUUACAGACAGACCUUGAAGAGACCUUCGGUCUCUGGAGGGGUUUGGUGUCUAAGAUAGUCCAGGUCCUCGAGCGCAUUAACGCCAAGGAUUCAGAGUUAGAAAUAGUGAGUGUCUUAGCUGACACUAAUGAGAAAGAAAAUAAGGUGAGGGCAAUUCUAGAUGCCUUGGAAUUUAGUUCUCCACCUGUUAAUCUAAGGUCUGAGCCAAAAGGAAAUCAGUCUUCCUUAUGCAGCCAUGAGACCAAUCUUUUAAAAUCACCUGCUGUGGCACUUAGUCUUAAGUCCAACCGCUCUAGCCAGGUAUCUAAAUUAAGGGAGCGUGCAUCGUCUAAACACAGCCACUCUAGCAAGUCUUCUGCUGCUGGGAGUGCCAUCUCUUCCCUAGCUGCCUUGCACAUUAAGGAGGCUGCACGUCUAGAGCUAAAGAGCAAGGUAGCGGGGGCGGAGGCUGAUGCUAAGGCAGCUGAUCUCACCCUUCCCUUUAAAGAAGAAGAGCAACGACUGCAAAUAGAACAGGCCCGUAGACAAAGCGAAAUGCAAAUAGAACAGGCUCGUAUAGAGAUGCUUAGAAUAAAGAUGGAUGCCGCAGCCAAAAGGGUAAGAGCUGAGACUUUGGCCAAGGCCCUAAUUGAGCCACUCACAGAAGAAAAUGUAAGCCAGUUACCAAUACAGGAUCCUUCUGCCAAAGUGUUUGCGCACCUUGGCAGCAUGAACAGCCAGUUUUCGGAUGAGGAACAGGAAGACUUCUCUCCUUACCCAGAGCAGUGCCCCAAAGUCACGUUUGAGUUUCCUGCAGAGCAGAGCGUCAUAGCGGGGAGCUCACCCUUGCUCGAGCUACCUGUGCCUCCUGCUAAAACCCUAGGUCAGUCAAUCAGGGCCUCAAGGCCGAGCGCUAGUUGGCCCCUACAGACAGCUGCACAGGGAACCAUCGAUUCGUCAGUGGUCGAUGUCAUCCCUCCAAGAGGCCAAAGGUUGACGCAAGGUACACGGUGGGAGUCCACUCCACAACAGCAAACUCCUCAAUUGUUCCCUUCGACGCCAGAGUCCCAGCUUGUCUCCAUCAUCAGAAGCCCCAGAAGAGAUCUUAAGGACAAGGGUGUCGAAAAGUUUUCGGACAAGCCUGAGGAAUUUCUUCUCUGGAAGGCCACCUUCCAGAGAGCAAUCAGAGACUUAAAGUUAUUGCCUGAGGAAGAACUGACUCUUCUGGCUGCAUGGUUGGGCCCAGCCUCAUCCUCACAAGUUAAGAAGAUCUACGCAGCCCACGUAGCCGAUCCCGACAAAGCCCUGGAAAAGGCCUGGGCCAGGUUGCAGCAGAGGUAUGGGGCCAGCACAGAGAUUGAAGCAUCUCUUAUGGACAAGCUCCAAAGGUUCCCAGCUUUAAAACUCAAAGACUUCAAACUCUUGUGGGACCUUAGCGAUCUCCUUGCGGAAUUAGAGUCGGCCAAGGAGAAUCCAGAACUGCCCGGUUUGAAGUGCCUCGAUCAGCACCUGUCCCAGAGGCAGAUCUUGACCAAGCUGCCCUUCACUUUGCAAGAACGCUGGGGACAGGAGGUCUUCAACUACAAGGAGGCCCACUCCCAGGCAUACCCUCCAUUUUCUCAUUUGGUCCAGUUCAUCACCAGGGCAGCCAGAGAAAGGAAUGAUCCACAGACGGGCCUCCCCACCUUAUACCAAGGGACCCAGCCAGAGAAGGCACCUAAAGUGGACAAGAAACCAUCUAGAGAGGCCAAUAGACCUGUCAGCGUAAAGGCAGUCGAAACUCAACACAAGACUGAUGAACCCAGGUCGGAGGUAAAAGAGUUGCUUUGCCCUAUUCACCAAAAGCCUCACAGCUUGGCCAACUGCAGGGAGUUUAGUAGAAAGACAUACAAAGAAAGGCAACAGCUAGUUCAAAAGCAGGGAAUCUGCUUUAGAUGCUGUGGAGCAACUCCACACUUUGCAUCCAACUGCAAAGAGGACGUCAAAUGCGCAAGGUGUAACAGCCUUAAGCAUUGCACCGCAAUGCACAACUCCAAUAUCAUCUCCCACCCCAAAGAGAACGCUUCACCAAAAGAAAAGUCAGCAGUCGAAGACACCGACAAGCCAGCCGUACCAGAGAUGCAGGUGGAGGUUUCAGCAGUCGCCUGCACAGAACUAUGCUCUGACUCGCACCAGUUCAGAGUCUGUCAUCCUAUCUGCCUAGCGGAUGUAUAUCCAUCCAAGAGCCCUUGGCUUAGAAAGAGACUCUAUGUGGCCCUGGAUUCACAGAGCGACGCCUCCCUGGCUACUCCAGAGUUCUUCCGCAUGUUUGACCUUAAAACCAAGAUGGUCGACUACACUAUGACUACGUGUGCAGGAAAAAAGAAGUUGCAGGGUCGCAUAGCAUCUGGCUUUGUUGUCUCCUCUUGCGACCAGAAGAGACAGUUCAAGUUGCCAGACCUGAUUGAGUGUUCCUCCAUCCCUCGGAACAAAAAACAAAUUGUAACUAGAGAAGUUGUGGAGGCUCAUCCACAUUUGCGACGGUUAAAGAAUGCUAUACCAGCCUUUCGGCCAGAUGUGGACAUUGCCCUUUUGCUUGGCUCGGACUGCCCGAGCUUGUUCUGUGUGAACGACCAAGUUAAAGGACCUCCAGGUGCACCUAUCGCACAACAAUUGCCAUUAGGCUGGACAGUCAUAGGCCCAGUGUGCAUAAACAAGAUGCACCCACCAUCGUCGUUGGACUCCAAUCAAGCACAGGUGCUUAAAGGUGGACGUCCUACACUUGUGCGCAGUUGCCUAAGUCACAUCUCAGUCUACUGCCAAGCAAUAACUCCAGAGUAUUCCUCCAUCUUCAAAGUCUCUGAGAGAGACGAAGCCAUAGCGCUCUCGAAAGAUGAGCAAAGGUUUUCGGACAUUAUGAAUGCUCAAGUCUCACGAAGUGCAGAGGUGAAAGCCUGCAAAUCAACCACAGAAAUCAAGACGGGCCAAAGAUCUUGCCUGGAACCACACCGUUUUGAACGUUUUUCGGAGUGGCACAGUCUUCUUAGAGCAGUUGCUAGGCUUAUACAUCGCUUAGUCUGCAAAGAUAGUCAGCCUUUACAGGUCCAGGAUAUGAUAAAGGCUAAGAGCGUCAUAUUCAAGUCAGUGCAGAGAUCUGCUUUCAAGCCGGAAAUAGCUAGGCUAGAGCAAGGGCUCAACAUCCCUAAUCAAAGUCUUCUAAAUGAGUUAAACCCAUUUCUAGACAAGGAGGGUAUUUUGAGAGUUGGAGGAAGGUUAGCCAAAGCUAAACUCAAGGCGUGCAUAAAAAACCCCAUCAUCAUACCCCCUAAUAGUCACACUGCAUUGCUGCUCGUUCGGCAUUACCAUGAGAAAAUCCAUCAUCAAGGUAGAACUCUGACUGAGGCGACCCUUAGAAAUGAAGGCCUGUGGGUGGUAAAUGCUAAAAGUUUGGUCAGCAGUGUGUCAAAUGUCGGCGACUCAGAGUCAGCUGAUGGCUGA